rnacentral:rRNA from 1 species
GACGAACGCUGGCGGCGUGCCUAAUACAUGCAAGUAGAACGCUGAAGAGAGGAGCUUGCUCUUCUUGGAUGAGUUGCGAACGGGUGAGUAACGCGUAGGUAACCUGCCUUGUAGCGGGGGAUAACUAUUGGAAACGAUAGCUAAUACCGCAUAACAAUGGAUGACACAUGUCAUUUAUUUGAAAGGGGCAAUUGCUCCACUACAAGAUGGACCUGCGUUGUAUUAGCUAGUAGGUGAGGUAAUGGCUCACCUAGGCGACGAUACAUAGCCGACCUGAGAGGGUGAUCGGCCACACUGGGACUGAGACACGGCCCAGACUCCUACGGGAGGCAGCAGUAGGGAAUCUUCGGCAAUGGAGGCAACCCUGACCGAGCAACGCCGCGUGAGUGAAGAAGGUUUUCGGAUCGUAAAGCUCUGUUGUAAGUCAAGAACGGGUGUGAGAGUGGAAAGUUCACACUAUGACGGUAGCUUACCAGAAAGGGACGGCUAACUACGUG